rfam:Myotis lucifugus cont2.3249, whole genome shotgun sequence.
CUGUCUCUUGCUUCAACAGUGUUGGGAUGGAACAG